CGGGGCGUGACUCAGUCCGGCUAGCGCGCACCUUUUGAUUCGGUGAUGUCGGAGGUUCAACUCCUCUCGCCCCGA
rnacentral:tRNA from 1 species